rnacentral:ncRNA from 1 species
UGAUAGCAAUGAAGCGCGAGGUUGCCGCCGACUAAGGCGGGUUUUCCGUGGAGCGAAUGUCAAGUUAGGAAACUGACGACAA